GACGAACGCUGGCGGCGUGCUUAACACAUGCAAGUCGAGCGGUAAGGCCCUUUCGGGGGUACACGAGCGGCGAACGGGUGAGUAACACGUGGGUGACCUGCCCUCAGCUCUGGGAUAAGCCUGGGAAACUGGGUCUAAUACCGGAUAUGACUCCGUGACGCAUGUUGUGGGGUGGAAAGCCUUGUGCGGCUGGGGAUGGGCCCGCGGCCUAUCAGCUUGUUGGUGGGGUGAUGGGCCACCAAGGCGACGACGGGUAGCCGGCCUGAGAGGGCGACCGGCCACACUGGGACUGAGACACGGCCCAGACUCCUACGGGAGGCAGCAGUGGGGAAUCUUGCGCAAUGGGCGAAAGCCUGACGCAGCGACGCCGCGUGAGGGAUGACGGCCUCGGUUGUAACCGU
rnacentral:rRNA from 1 species